AACGCGAAGAACCUUACCGAGGCUUGACAUCGGAUGAACAUCUAAGAAAUUAGGUUUUCCCGCAAGGGAACAUCCAGACAGGUGCUGCAUGGCUGUCGUCAGCUCGUGCCGUGAGGUGUUGGGUUAAGUCCCGCAACGAGCGCAACCCUCGUCGUGUGUUGGUCAGCAAUGAUCUCUCACACGAGACCGCCGAUGAGAAGUCGGAGGAAGGUGGGGAUGACGUCAAGUCAGCAUGGCCCUUACGUCUCGGGCUACACACGUGCUACAAUGGGCAGGACAACGAGCCGCAAGCUAGUGAUAGUAAGCCAAUCUCUUAAACCUGUCCCCAGUUCGGAUUGAAGGCUGCAACUCGCCUUCAUGAAGUCGGAAUCGCUAGUAACCGCAGAUCAGCUACGCUGCGGUGAAUACGUUCCCGGGCCUUGUA
rnacentral:rRNA from 1 species